rnacentral:rRNA from 1 species
AUUGUUGAAAGGGAAGCGCUUGCACCCAGACUUGGGCGCCGUCAAUCACCCGGUGUUCUCACCGGUGCACUUGAUGGCGUGCAGGCCAGCAUCGGUUCUGGCGGCUGGACAAAGGCCCUGGGAAUGUAGCUCCCCCCGGGGAGUGUUAUAGCCCAUGGCGCAAUGCGGCCUGCCGGGACCGAGGACCGCGCUCCGGCUAGGAUGCUGGCGUAAUGGUUGCAAGCGACCCGUCUUGAAACACGGACCAAGGAGUCUAACAUCUAUGCGAGUGUUUGGGCGCAAAACCCAUGCGCGCAAUGAAGGUGAACGGAGGUGAGAACCCUCAAGGGUGCAUCACCGACCGAUCCUGAUGUCCUCGGAUGGAUUUGAGUAAGAGCAUAGCUGUUGGGACCCGAAAGAUUGUGAACUAUGCCUGAAUAGGGUGAAGCCAGAGGAAACUCUGGUGGAGGCUCGCAGCGGUUCUGACGUGCAAAUCGAUCGUCAAAUUUGGGUAUAGGGGCGAAAGACUAAUCGAACAAUCUAGUAGCUGGUUCCUGCCGAAGUUUCCCUCAGGAUAGCAGUGUUGAAUUCAGUUUUAUGAGGUAGAGCGAAUGAUUAGAGGCCUUGGGGCAGCAACUGCCUUAACCUAUUCUCAAACUUCGAAUAUGUAAGAAGUCCUUGUUGCUUAGUUGAACGUGGACAUUUGAAUGUACCAACACUAGUGGGCCAUUUUUGGUAAGCAGAACUGGCGAUGCGGGAUGAACCGAACGCGGAGUUAAGGUGCCGGAAUGUACGCUCAUCAGACACCACAAAAGGUGUUAGUUCAUCUAG